rnacentral:rRNA from 1 species
ACAUGCCUACAUCAUAGCAUUAAUGCACCAGAUCCCAUUAGAACUAUAUAGUUAAGUGCGCUCAGGCUAUAGUAGUAUUGGGAUGGGUGACCUCCCGGGAAAUACUAGUGUUUUACAUGCC